UACGUAGGGUGCAAGCGUUGUCCGGAAUUAUUGGGCGUAAAGAGCUCGUAAGCGGUCUGUCGCGUCUGCUGUGAAAACUCAGGGCUUAACCCUGAGCUUGCAGUGGGUACGGGCAGACUAGAGUGCGGUAGGGGAGACUGGAAUUCCUGGUGUAGCGGUGAAAUGCGCAGAUAUCAGGAGGAACACCGGUGGCGAAGGCGGGUCUCUGGGCCGUAACUGACGCUGAGGAGCGAAAGCAUGGGGAGCGAACAGG
rnacentral:rRNA from 1 species